rnacentral:lncRNA from 1 species
UUGGCCAAGACCCACGUGGCCUUGUUUCUCUCCCCAUGAAUAAGAAUGACCCCCAACGGAUAUAUGGUCUUCCAUCCACUACCAUAUCACUACAAGAAGGGACGAAUGGAAAAAAAUGGUAAGAAAAAUAAAAAGACAAAAAGACAAAAAAGAAUAAAAAAGAAACGGGAGAUUCCUCUCUCAGCAAAAAGAAAAUCUCCACUAACCCUCUCGAUGGACUAACAACUUUUUCCUAUACUUGACACAUAUACUCCUUUCUCCUCACCAACCACCAAGGGAUGCCAACGAUUUUCUCUCUCUCUCUCUCUCACAGUAAACCAUCCCUUCGUCUUCUUCACGGCAUAACCUCACCGUCUCCACCAUAAACAAAAAAAAACCUUUAACACCAAACUCAGACAACUUCCU